rnacentral:rRNA from 1 species
GAUGAACGCUGGCGGCGUGCCUAACACAUGCAAGUCGAACGGAAAGGCGCCUUUGGGGGUACUCGAGUGGCGAACGGGUGAGUAAGACGUGAGUAAGCUGCCCUUGACUUCGGGAUAACUUCAGGAAACUGGGGCUAAUACCGGUACGGAAUCAUUGUUGCAUGGGGGGGGUUCGAAAGCUUCGGCGGGUUUGGCUGGCCUUGCGGGUUAUCAGCUUGCUGGUGGGGUAGUGGCUUAACAAGGCGGUGAUGGCUAGCCGAUAUGAGAGGGCGACCGGGCACACUGGGACCGAGACACGGCACAGACUCCUACGGGCGGCCGCAGUGGGGAAGGUUGGCAGCUGGGCGGAAGACUGCACGAGCGACGCCGCGUGGAUGAUGCAGGGCUUCGGGUGGUAUAACGCUCUUCUGGUGGAAGACCGCUUUCAUCAGGAGCGAAGCUUGUCGUGACGGUACCUUAAGAAGAAGCACCGGCUAACUACGUG